rnacentral:rRNA from 1 species
GAGGCACCUGCACAGGUGCUGCAUGGCUGUCGUCAGCUCGUGUCGUGAGAUGUUGGGUUAAGUCCCGCAACGAGCGCAACCCUUAUCCCCAGUUGCCAUCAGGUAAAGCUGGGAACUCUGGGGAGACUGCCGGUGAUAAACCGGAGGAAGGCGGGGAUGACGUCAAGUCCUCAUGGCCCUUACAUCCCGGGCUACACACGUGCUACAAUGGCAGGUACAGAGGGCUGCGAAGCCGCGAGGUGGAGCGAAUCCCAGAAAACCUGUCUCAGUCCGGAUUGAAGUCUGCAACUCGACUUCAUGAAGGCGGAAUCGCUAGUAACCGCGAAUCAGCAGGUCGCGGUGAAUACGUUCCCGGGCCUU